AGCCCAAGCGCACCAGCGACAGCCCGCGCGUCGCCUCUUGUACCACGCACGCCACCAUUCUUCUGUGUACAUCGCGCUUUUUUCUCCCACCUUCUGCGCCGCCUUUGAUGAUGAGGGACGCCCCAGUGCGUGGUGUUACGUCCCGGUAGCCCACUCUGUAUGGGAAAGCCAUACAGCCCCCUACUUGCUGACAAAUGCGGAACCACUUCUGGUGGUGGCAGGGUGGAGCGCCUACGACGGAGGGGGGGGUCAGCGCGAUGCAUUGCCACAGAUGUCGGCGGCCAGGCCCUGGACGGCGUUGCGCCGCAGCGACCUGCAAUCGUGCACACGUUAGUGUCACCCGUAUGAUUAGGCAGAAUGCCAAGGUGACUGGAACCUGCACUACCCGGCCCCCCACGCUGCCCACUGGAGUGGGGAGCCUGAGCCGCCCCGAGGGACGCACCAGGUGGGCGACUGGCAUAGUGGGGGAGCGGCUGUGAGGCGACCUGCGAAGCUGGUGUGGGCAGGGCUUAAGGCGGGGAGGCCGUGCUCUUCGACGACUGAGUCGGCGCGUUGCUGAAACGUUGGUGUCUGGCACUGCUUCGCACGACUGGAUGGGACCGUGAGAGGCCGGGGAGGGGUCGAGCCCGACUCAUGCGCUAUAGCAGUGUAGUCAUGCUCAAGUAAUUGGCGAGUGCACACAGAAAGUUACUGUCAGAGUCAAUGCUUCGCGUGCGUAGCCUUUCCUGUUCGCAGUUGGCUCACAACCUGACGCUCUCGAUCUUCGAGCCGGUUGCGAACCACCGGGCGACCCGGAUCGUGUGCACUAUCGGCCCUAGCACGCAGAGCGUGGAGGCGCUGAAGGGACUGAUUCAGAGCGGCAUGUCUGUUGCGCGCAUGAACUUCUCGCAUGGGUCACACGAGUACCACCGGACGACAAUCAACAAUGUGCGCCAGGCCGCCGCGGAGCUCGGUGUGAAUAUCGCGAUCGCGCUGGACACAAAGGGGCCCGAGAUUCGGACGGGACAGUUCGUUGGUGGCGAGGCCGUGAUGGAGCGAGGCGCGACAUGCUACGUGACGACAGACCCUGCGUUUGCUGACAAGGGCACCAAGGACAAGUUCUACAUCGACUACCAGAACCUGUCGAAGGUGGUGCGCCCUGGCAGCUACAUCUACAUCGACGACGGCAUCCUGAUCCUGCACGUGCAGAGCCACGAGGACGAGCAGACGCUGAAGUGCACGGUGACUAACGCGCACACGAUCUCUGACCGACGCGGUGUGAACCUGCCGGGGUGCGACGUGGACCUGCCGGCUGUGUCGGCGAAGGACUGCGCGGACCUGCAGUUUGGCGUGGAGCAGGGCGUGGACAUGAUCUUCGCGUCGUUCAUCCGGAGCGCGGAGCAGGUGGGCGAGGUGCGGGAGGCGCUUGGCGCGAAGGGACGUGACAUCAUGAUCAUCUGCAAGAUCGAGAACCACCAGGGCGUGCAGAACAUCGACUCUAUCAUUGAGGAGAGCGACGGCAUCAUGGUUGCGCGCGGCGACCUCGGUGUUGAGAUCCCAGCGGAGAAGGUGGUGGUUGCGCAGAAGAUCCUGAUCAGCAAGUGCAACGUUGCCGGCAAGCCGGUCAUCUGCGCGACGCAGAUGCUGGAGAGCAUGACGUACAACCCCCGCCCGACGCGCGCUGAGGUAUCGGAUGUCGCUAACGCUGUCUUCAACGGUGCGGAUUGCGUGAUGCUGUCUGGUGAGACGGCGAAGGGCAAGUAUCCGAAUGAGGUGGUUCAGUACAUGGCGCGCAUCUGCCUAGAGGCGCAGAGCGCCGUUAACGAAUACGUCUUCUUCAACAGCAUCAAAAAACUGCAGCCCAUCCCGAUGAGUGCUGAGGAGGCUGUUUGCAGCAGUGCCGUGAACUCUGUGUAUGAGACCAAGGCCAAGGUAAUGGUGGUGCUGAGCAACACCGGCCGCAGCGCUCGACUGGUGGCGAAGUACCGUCCGAACUGCCCGAUUGUGUGUGUGACGACGCGUCUGCAGACGUGCCGCCAGCUGAACAUCACACAAGGCGUGGAGAGUGUUUUCUUUGAUGCAGAAAAGCUCGGCCACGAUGAGGGCAAGGAGCAGCGCGUGGCCAUGGGUGUUGGAUUCGCCACGUCGAAGGGCUAUGUGCAGACUGGUGACUACUGCGUUGUGAUUCACGCUGAUCACAAGGUCAAGGGCUACGCCAACCAGACGCGCAUUCUUCUCGUCGAGUAAGUCUUAUUUCCAUUCGUACCUUGUCGCCACCCUUUCCUAUACAGGGCGAAUCUUUACUGUGGUGUAUUCUCUCCUUUGGCUCGUCAGCCCCAGCAUUCAGCCUUUCGACAUGUGUUUACGGUUACUAUGUUCUGUGGCUUGUUGUUGCUUUUUCCCUCUCGUGUGCGCGGUCUGUCGUACCUUCACGAAUGACGACAUCAGUUUUUUUUCUAUAUUCUGUUUUUCUCCCGGCUCCCCUCGUGUCUACCCAUUUCUUUGUGCUGCGAGCAGCAGUAUGUCGUCGCACAACAUCGUGAGCUGUGUGAGUGUGUUGGUGGUGGUGGCCCGGCAGCUACCAGAGGGAGGAGAGGGCGUGAGCGGGGCUUCCCGCAUAUGAAGAAUAACGUUUUUUUUUCAAGCUGGAGAAGGUGUCUGAAUCGGUGGCAGCUUUUCUGUUACGUAGGACUGCAGCCUUUCUCACCUAUUUCAAACACGCUAAAGCGCUGCGCCUUUACGUGCCCUCUCUUUCCCUCUACCUGUCAUCUCUCUUUUCUCAGAAGACCGCCGCCGUAGGUUUUUUUCGCCCGGGUAUACGCCUCUUUCUCGCCUUGCACUUUCGCCGCACAAAAAAAGGUUCACAUCCACAGUGCAACCUUCAGUACAGCUGUUCGCUGCCUUAGAUACCUUAUCGCGUACAAUGCCACGUUCUCGACUCCUUUAUCUUUCUACUUUGGUGUUUCAUCGAGUGAAAGGCAUCAUCACGGCACUGCUCUCAGUCACAUCCGUGGUGCUUCCUAUUCGUGCCGGCAAUAAAGAGACAAACGAGGCGAGAUUAUGAUUGAUCAUCGGGUCCGUGUAUUUCUGAAGCAAGCACACGCUUGCACAAACUU
rnacentral:misc_RNA from 1 species